GACCUAGUGUCACGAAUAGAUGAAAUAUAAACAUGACGUAUUAUUAUUAUUAGAUUUGGGUAGAUUUUUUAAUGUUUUUGUAGAUUUGUGAAGAUUUUGGUAUCUGGAGGCCCUGCUGGAUGAGUUUUGUUCCCUAGGCAUGGUGGAGAACAGUACUGACAAUGCACAACAAUAUACAAGAGAUGAUAGUCAAGGGCAAUCGUGUGAUGCAAGACACAUGUAUUCAGCUGGUUCAGUGCUGGUGGAAAGAAGAUGGAGUGGUUCUUGCUUGAACUGAGACUGACCCUUCAGUUGAC